UUAGUUUUUGAAAGUAGAUACAGUAAAAUUGGACCACUACAGAGAUUAGCAUGACCCCUUCACAAGGAUGACACACAAUAAGUGGAAAAUAAACCUCCAGAA